rnacentral:misc_RNA from 1 species
AAAAUAAUAAUAAUAAUAAUAAUCCUGACAGCACUUUGUUCCAAACAAAAUACAUGAAUGAAUGCCCUCGCUAUUUAUAUUUUUUUCCCCCUAUUUCCUAUUUCUACUUGUGUGUCAACCACAAUCCCUAAUACUCUCCAACAAAACAUACAAGUUGACAACAAAAAAAAACUCAGACAUAUAUUAUCAUGACUCCCAGAAGAGCUCAAAAUCAUUACUGUACAGUGACCGGUCUUGAAUCUCCAAAUUUGCAACAUGCCAAUUAAUAAGUUGCGAUUGCAAAAUCUUACAGAGAACCAGUCCAGCUGGAAAUAUCCACCUUUCACUUUCAUCCAUGCUAAUAUU